rnacentral:misc_RNA from 1 species
AAGUCGUAACAAGGUUUCCGUAGGUGAACCUGCGGAAGGAUCAUUAACACGUUUUACGUUCCAAAACGUUUUGACCCAUUUUCAUUUUCUGUGCACCCCCCCUUGAAACCCGGCUUCCCCGAGCCGUCCUCUGGGUUUACUCAGUGUGACCUGUUCGGGCGUCUUCUCUUCCUUUCGGGGAAAAGGAAGGCGUUGCCACAACCCCAAACCCUUUAACCUGUAUGUCUGAACUUUUGAAGUUGGGAAGAUUCACUUUUUUCCAACGACUUUUAAAAACAAAUAACAACUCUUAACAACGGAUAUCUUGGUUCUC